UACGUAGGUGGCAAGCGUUAUCCGGAUUUAUUGGGCGUAAAGGGAACGCAGGCGGUCUUUUAAGUCUGAUGUGAAAGCCUUCGGCUUAACCGGAGUAGUGCAUUGGAAACUGCCGGGCUGGAGUGCAGGAGGGGCAGGCGGAAUUCCUAGUGUAGCGGUGAAAUGCGUAGAUAUUAGGAGGAACACCAGUGGCGAAGGCGGCCUGCUGGACUGCAACUGACGUUGAGGCUCGAAGGCGUGGGGAGCAAACAGG
rnacentral:rRNA from 1 species